rnacentral:rRNA from 1 species
CCCUUAGAUGUUCUGGGCCGCACGCGCGCUACACUGAUGCAUUCAACGAGCCUAUCCUUGACCGACAGGUCCGGGUAAUCUUUGAAUCUGCAUCGUGACGGGGAUAGAUUAUUGCAAUUAUUAAUCUUAAACGAGGAAUGCCUAGUAGGCGCAAGUCAUCAGCUUGCGUCGAUUACGUCCCUGCCCUUUGUACACACCGCCCGUCGCUCCUACCGAUUGGGUGUGCUGGUGAAAUGUUCGGAUCGGCCGUUUGUCGCGGUUUCCGCGGCUCGUGGCUGAGAAGUUCAUUAAACCCUCCCACCUAGAGGAAGGAGAAGUCGUAACA